rnacentral:tRNA from 1 species
GCCCAGGUGGUGGAAUUGGUAGACACGCUACUUUGAGGGGGUAGUGACCGUUUUGGUCGUGUGAGUUCAAAUCUCGUCCUGGGCA